UAACACAUGCCAGUCGAACGAAGCACUUUCCUCUAUUUCUUCGGAUUGAAGUUUUAGUGACUGAGUGGCGGACGGGUGAGUAACGCGUGGGUAACCUGCCUCACACAGGGGGAUAACAGUUGGAAACGGCUGCUAAUACCGCAUAAGCGCACAGUACCGCAUGGUACAGUGUGAAAAACUCCGGUGGUGUGAGAUGGACCCGCGUCUGAUUAGCUAGUUGGCAGGGUAACGGCCUACCAAGGCGACGAUCAGUAGCCGACCUGAGAGGGUGACCCGCCACAUUGGGACUGAGACACGGCCCAAACUCCUACGGGAGGCAGCAGUGGGGAAUAUUGCACAAUGGGGGAAACCCUGAUGCAGCGACGCCGCGUGAGCGAAGAAGUAUUUCGGUAUGUAAAGCUCUAUCAGCAGGGAAGAAGAAAUGACGGUACCUGACUAAGAAGCUCCGGGCUAAAUACGUGCCAGCAGCCGCGGUAAUACGUAUGGUGCAAGUGUUAUCCGGAUUGACUGGGUGUAAGGGGAGCGCAGGCGGAACGCUAAGUCUGAUGUGAUAGGCCGGGGCUCAACCCCGGUUACUGCAUUGGAAACUGGUCAUCUAGAGUGUCGGAGGGGUAAGUGGAAUUCCUAGUGUAGCGGUGAAAUGCGUAGAUAUUAGGAGGAACACCAGUGGCGAAGGCGGCUUACUGGACGAUAACUGACGCUGAGGCUCGAAAGCGUGGGGAGCAAACAGGAUUAGAUACCCUGGUAGUCCACGCCGUGAACGAUGAAUACUAGGUGUCGGAAAGCACAGCUUUUCGGUGCCGCCGCAAACGCAUUAAGUAUUCCACCUGGGGAGUACGUUCGCAAGAAUGAAACUCAAAGGAAUUGACGGGGACCCGCACAAGCGGUGGGGCAUGUGGUUUAAUUCGAAGCAACGCGAAGAACCUUACCAAGUCUUGACAUCCUUCUGACUGGACAGUAAUGUGUCCUUUCCUUCGGGACAGAAGUGACAGGUGGUGCAUGGUUGUCGUCAGCUCGUGUCGUGAGAUGUUGGGUUAAGUCCCGCAACGAGCGCAACCCUUAUCCCCAGUAGCCAGCAUUUCGGAUGGGCACUCUGAGGAGACUGCCAGGGAUAACCUGGAGGAAGGUGGGGAUGACGUCAAAUCAUCAUGCCCCUUAUGACUUGGGCUACACACGUGCUACAAUGGCGUAAACAAAGGGAAGCAAGACCGUGAGGUGGAGCAAAUCCCAAAAAUAACGUCUCAGUUCGGACUGUAGUCUGCAACCCGACUACACGAAGCUGGAAUCGCUAGUAAUCGCAGAUCAGAAUGCUGCGGUGAAUACGUUCCCGGGUCUUGUACACACCGCCCGUCACACCAUGGGAGUUGGAAAUGCCCGAAGUCAGUGACCCAACCGAAAGGAGGGAGCUGCCGAAGGCAGGUUCGAUAACUG
rnacentral:rRNA from 1 species